rnacentral:rRNA from 1 species
UUUUCACAAUGGGCGCAAGCCUGAUGGAGCGACGCCGCGUGGGGGAUGAAGGGUUUCGAUCCGUAAACCCCUGUCAUUUGCGAACAAACCUUACCGAUGAAUAGUCGGUGAGCUGAUUGUAGCGAAAGAGGAAGGGACGGCUAACUCUGUG